rnacentral:rRNA from 1 species
UACACUCCUGCGGGAGGCAGCAGUGGGGAAUUUUGGACAAUGGGCGAAAGCCUGAUCCAGCAAUGCCGCGUGAGUGAAGAAGGCCUUCGGGUUGUAAAGCUCUUUUGUCAGGGAAGAAACGGUGAAAGCUAAUAUCUUUUGCUAAUGACGGUACCUGAAGAAUAAGCACCGGCUAACUACGUGCCAGCAGCCGCGGUAAUACGUAGGGUGCAAGCGUUAAUCGGAAUUACUGGGCGUAAAGCGUGCGCAGGCGGUUUUGUAAGUCUGAUGUGAAAUCCCCGGGCUCAACCUGGGAAUUGCAUUGGAGACUGCAAGGCUAGAAUCUGGCAGAGGGGGGUAGAAUUCCACGUGUAGCAGUGAAAUGCGUAGAUAUGUGGAGGAACACCGAUGGCGAAGGCAGCCCCCUGGGUCAAGAUUGACGCUCAUGCACGAAAGCGUGGGGAGCAAACAGGAUUAGAUACCCGUGUAGUCCCAUG